GACGAACGCUGGCGGCGUGCUUAACACAUGCAAGUCGAACGUGAUUUUUGUGGAAAGCCCUUCGGGGACGGAAGCGAAAUGAAAGUGGCGAACGGGUGAGUAACACGUGAGCAACCUACCUUACACAGGGGGAUAGCCGUUGGAAACGACGAUUAAUACCGCAUGAGACCACAAAGCCACAUGGCUUAGGGGUAAAAGAUUUAUCGGUGUAAGAUGGGCUCGCGUCUGAUUAGCUAGUUGGAAGGGUAAAGGCCUACCAAGGCAACGAUCAGUAGCCGGUCUGAGAGGAUGAACGGCCACAUUGGAACUGAGACACGGUCCAAACUCCUACGGGAGGCAGCAGUGGGGAACAUUGCACAAUGGGGGGAACCCUGAUGCAGCAACGCCGCGUGAGUGAAGAAGGCCCUAGGGUCGUAAAGCUCUGUCGUAUGGGAAGAAACAAAUGACUGUACCAUACAAGAAAGCCCCGGCUAACUACGUGCCAGCAGCCGCGGUAAUACGUAGGGGGCAAGCGUUAUCCGGAAUUACUGGGCGUAAAGGGUGCGUAGGCGGCUAGUUAAGUCGAGGUUAAAAGGCAGUAGCUCAACUACUGUUGGGCCUUGAAACUAAUUAGCUUGAGUAUAGGAGAGGAAAGUGGAAUUCCCGGUGUAGCGGUGAAAUGCGUAGAUAUCGGGAGGAAUACCGGUGGCGAAGGCGACUUUCUGGACUAUAACUGACGCUGAGGCACGAAAGCGUGGGUAGCAAACAGG
rnacentral:rRNA from 1 species